UUAAGCGACUAAGCGUACACGGUGGAUGCCCUGGCAGUCAGAGGCGAUGAAGGACGUGCUAAUCUGCGAUAAGCGCCGGUAAGGUGAUAUGAACCGUUAUAACCGGCGAUUUCCGAAUGGGGAAACCCAGUGUGAUUCGUCACACUAUCAUUAACUGAAUCCAUAGGUUAAUGAGGCGAACCGGGGGAACUGAAACAUCUAAGUACCCCGAGGAAAAGAAAUCAACCGAGAUUCCCCCAGUAGCGGCGAGCGAACGGGGAGGAGCCCAGAGCCUGAAUCAGCAUGUGUGUUAGUGGAAGCGUCUGGAAAGGCGCGCGAUACAGGGUGACAGCCCCGUACACAAAAGCGCAUGUGCUGUGAGCUCGAUGAGUAGGGCGGGACACGUGGUAUCCUGUCUGAAUAUGGGGGGACCAUCCUCCAAGGCUAAAUACUCCUGACUGACCGAUAGUGAACCAGUACCGUGAGGGAAAGGCGAAAAGAACCCCGGCGAGGGGAGUGAAAAAGAACCUGAAACCGUGUACGUACAAGCAGUGGGAGCCCCACCACCAAAGCAUUCUCUGGUGUUGAAGGCCCUGCAAAGCAGCAUCGCGGUGGCGGAGCGUCGUUUGCGACGCCCAACACACAAAACAAGCGGUGAAUGCUUUGGGGUGGGGUGACUGCGUACCUUUUGUAUAAUGGGUCAGCGACUUAUAUUCUGUAGCAAGGUUAACCGAAUAGGGGAGCCGGAGGGAAACCGAGUCUUAAUUGGGCGUUAAGUUGCAGGGUAUAGACCCGAAACCCGGUGAUCUAGCCAUGGGCAGGUUGAAGGUUGGGUAACACUAACUGGAGGACCGAACCGACUAAUGUUGAAAAAUUAGCGGAUGACCUGUGGCUGGGGGUGAAAGGCCAAUCAAACCGGGAGAUAGCUGGUUCUCCCCGAAAGCUAUUUAGGUAGCGCCUCGUGAAUUCAUCUCCGGGGGUAGAGCACUGUUUCGGCUAGGGGGCCAUCCCGGCUUACCAACCCGAUGCAAACUGCGAAUACCGGAGAAUGUUAUCACGGGAGACACACGGCGGGUGCUAACGUCCGUCGUGAAGAGGGAAACAACCCAGACCGCCAGCUAAGGUCCCAAAGUCAUGGUUAAGUGGGAAACGAUGUGGGAAGGCCCAGACAGCCAGGAUGUUGGCUUAGAAGCAGCCAUCAUUUAAAGAAAGCGUAAUAGCUCACUGGUCGAGUCGGCCUGCGCGGAAGAUGUAACGGGGCUAAACCAUGCACCGAAGCUGCGGCAGCGACGCUGAUGCGUUGUUGGGUAGGGGAGCGUUCUGUAAGCCUGCGAAGGUGACCUGUGAGGGUUGCUGGAGGUAUCAGAAGUGCGAAUGCUGACAUAAGUAACGAUAAAGCGGGUGAAAAGCCCGCUCGCCGGAAGACCAAGGGUUCCUGUCCAACGUUAAUCGGGGCAGGGUGAGUCGACCCCUAAGGCGAGGCCGAAAGGCGUAGUCGAUGGGAAACGGGUUAAUAUUCCCGUACUUGGUGUUACUGCGAAGGGGGGACGGAGAAGGCUAUGUUGGCCGGGCGACGGUUGUCCCGGUUUAAGCGUGUAGGUGUGUGUUCCAGGUAAAUCCGGUUCACUUUAACACUGAGGCGUGAUGACGAGGCACUACGGUGCUGAAGCAACAAAUGCCCUGCUUCCAGGAAAAGCCUCUAAGCAUCAGGUAACAUCAAAUCGUACCCCAAACCGACACAGGUGGUCAGGUAGAGAAUACCAAGGCGCUUGAGAGAACUCGGGUGAAGGAACUAGGCAAAAUGGUGCCGUAACUUCGGGAGAAGGCACGCUGACACGUAGGUGAAGUGAUUUACUCACGGAGCUGAAGUCAGUCGAAGAUACCAGCUGGCUGCAACUGUUUAUUAAAAACACAGCACUGUGCAAACACGAAAGUGGACGUAUACGGUGUGACGCCUGCCCGGUGCCGGAAGGUUAAUUGAUGGGGUCAGCGCAAGCGAAGCUCCUGAUCGAAGCCCCGGUAAACGGCGGCCGUAACUAUAACGGUCCUAAGGUAGCGAAAUUCCUUGUCGGGUAAGUUCCGACCUGCACGAAUGGCGUAAUGAUGGCCAGGCUGUCUCCACCCGAGACUCAGUGAAAUUGAACUCGCUGUGAAGAUGCAGUGUACCCGCGGCAAGACGGAAAGACCCCGUGAACCUUUACUAUAGCUUGACACUGAACAUUGAGCCUUGAUGUGUAGGAUAGGUGGGAGGCUUUGAAGUGUGGACGCCAGUCUGCAUGGAGCCGACCUUGAAAUACCACCCUUUAAUGUUUGAUGUUCUAACGUGGACCCGUAAUCCGGGUUGCGGACAGUGUCUGGUGGGUAGUUUGACUGGGGCGGUCUCCUCCUAAAGAGUAACGGAGGAGCACGAAGGUUGGCUAAUCCUGGUCGGACAUCAGGAGGUUAGUGCAAUGGCAUAAGCCAGCUUGACUGCGAGCGUGACGGCGCGAGCAGGUGCGAAAGCAGGUCAUAGUGAUCCGGUGGUUCUGAAUGGAAGGGCCAUCGCUCAACGGAUAAAAGGUACUCCGGGGAUAACAGGCUGAUACCGCCCAAGAGUUCAUAUCGACGGCGGUGUUUGGCACCUCGAUGUCGGCUCAUCACAUCCUGGGGCUGAAGUAGGUCCCAAGGGUAUGGCUGUUCGCCAUUUAAAGUGGUACGCGAGCUGGGUUUAGAACGUCGUGAGACAGUUCGGUCCCUAUCUGCCGUGGGCGCUGGAGAACUGAGGGGGGCUGCUCCUAGUACGAGAGGACCGGAGUGGACGCAUCACUGGUGUUCGGGUUGUCAUGCCAAUGGCACUGCCCGGUAGCUAAAUGCGGAAGAGAUAAGUGCUGAAAGCAUCUAAGCACGAAACUUGCCCCGAGAUGAGUUCUCCCUGAGACUUUAGGUCUCCUGAAGGAACGUUGAAGACGACGACGUUGAUAGGCCGGGUGUGUAAGCGCAGCGAUGCGUUGAGCUAACCGGUACUAAUGAACCGUGAGGCUUAACCUUACAACGCCGAAGAUGUUUUGGCGGAUGA
rnacentral:rRNA from 1 species